rnacentral:rRNA from 1 species
CCCUUAGAUGUUCGGGGCCGCACGCGCGCUACACUGAAGGACUCAGCGUGUCUCUCCCCCUAUCCCGAAAGGGAUGGGCAACCCGUUGAACCCCCUUCGUGCUAGGGAUUGGGGUUUGCAAUUAUCCCCCAUGAACGAGGAAUUCCCAGUAAGCGCGAGUCAUCAGCUCGCGUUGAUUACGUCCCUGCCCUUUGUACACACCGCCCGUCGCUACUACCGAUUGGAUGGUUUAGUGAGACCCUCGGAUCGGUCCCGACUCGGGGUGGGCUUCUGCCCCGGUCGUGGUUUCGCCGAGAAGACGGUCAAACUUGACUAUCUAGAGGAAGUAAAAGUCGUAACA